AUUGAACGCUGGCGGCAGGCCUAACACAUGCAAGUCGAGCGAGCGGCGGACGGGUGAGUAAUGUCUGGGGAUCUGCCCGAUGGAGGGGGAUAACUACUGGAAACGGUAGCUAAUACCGCAUACCAUCGGAUGUGCCCAGAUGGGAUUAGCUAGUAGGUGGGGUAAAGGCUCACCUAGGCGACGAUCCCUAGCUGGUCUGAGAGGAUGACCAGCCAAACGUGAACUGAGACACGGUCCAGACUCCUACGGGAGGCAGCAGUGGGGAAUAUUGCACAAGGGGCGCAAGCCUGAUGCAGCCAUGCCGCGUGUAUGAAGAAGGCCUUAGGGUUGUAAAGUACUUUCAGCGGGGAGGCGUUACCCGCAGAAGAAGCACCGGCUAACUCCGUGCCAGCAGCCGCGGUAAUUC
rnacentral:rRNA from 1 species